AUUGAACGCUGGCGGCAUGCUUUACACAUGCAAGUCGAACGGUAACAGGGUGCUUGCACCGCUGACGAGUGGCGAACGGGUGAGUAAUGCGUCGGAACGUGCCGAGUAGUGGGGGAUAACGCAGCGAAAGUUGUGCUAAUACCGCAUACGUACUGAGGUAGAAAGUGGGGGACCUUCGGGCCUCACGCUAUUCGAGCGGCCGACGUCUGAUUAGCUAGUAGGUGAGGUAAAGGCUCACCUAGGCGACGAUCAGUAGCGGGUCUGAGAGGAUGAUCCGGCACGCUGGGACAGGGACACGGCCCAGACUCCUACGGGGGGCAGCAGUGGGGAAUUUUGGACAAUGGGCGAAAGCCUGAUCCAGCCAUGCCGCGUGUCUGAAGAAGGCCUUCGGGUUGUAAAGGACUUUUGUCAGGGAGGAAAUCCCUAGUGCUAAUAACACUGGGGGAUGACAGUACCUGAAGAAUAAGCACCGGCUAACUACGUGCCAGCCGCCGCCGUAA
rnacentral:rRNA from 1 species